CUUAGAUGAGAUCUUGGUAUGAUCUCUAAAGCACUCAUAAAUAUGGGCACACACAUGGCAUAAUAAACGCAACGCAACGAGAUAAGAAUAAGGAUUGUGGGGGUGUAUUCUGAUUAACAAACCUAUAACACAUGUUAAGUGUCCUUGGUUUAUAUAGCCUACUAUACCAACUACAUUGUGUGUUAAGUUUCUUGAUCUAGAAUUGUUUCAUAUAUAUAGCUUGUUAUACCAGCUCUGAUGCAUUACAUCUUAUAAAAUCCAGG
rnacentral:lncRNA from 1 species